rnacentral:lncRNA from 1 species
CAUUGUCUGAUUUUUGGUUGUCUGAUCACACUCGAAAUUAUGUAUCUACUUAUCGUAUUUUUACCCCUGCUCGGUAGUUUUGUAGCAGGUUGUUUCGGACGUUGUGAAUCCACCAUGCGCGGGUUCAAUUCCCGUCAUUCGCCCAUAAUUCAAUUUUUUUAAUAAAUGAUUGGCUACAAAGGGAUUUUUUUUAGUGAACGUGUCACAAGCUUACUCCUAUUUUUUUUUUUUUUUUUUUUUUUAAAAAAAAAAAAUUUU